AGUGAACGCUGGCGAUAGGCCUAACACAUGCAAGUCGAACGGCAGCACAGUAAGAGCUUGCUCUUACGGGUGGCGAGUGGCGGACGGGUGAGGAAUACAUCGGAAUCUACUUUUUCGUGGGGGAUAACGUAGGGAAACUUACGCUAAUACCGCAUACGACCUACGGGUGAAAGCAGGGGAUCUUCGGACCUUGCGCGAUUGAAUGAGCCGAUGUCGGAUUAGCUAGUUGGCGGGGUAAAGGCCCACCAAGGCGACGAUCCGUCGCUGGUCUGAGAGGAUGAUCAGCCACACUGGAACUGAGACACGGUCCAGACUCCUACGGGAGGCAGCAGUGGGGAAUAUUGGACAAUGGGCGCAAGCCUGAUCCAGCCAUACCGCGUGGGUGAAGAAGGCCUUCGGGUUGUAAAGCCCUUUUGUUGGGAAAGAAAAGCAGCAGGUUAAUACCCCGCUGUUCUGACGGUACCCAAAGAAUAAGCACCGGCUAACUUCGUG
rnacentral:rRNA from 1 species